rnacentral:rRNA from 1 species
AUUGAACGCUGGCGGCAGGCCUAACACAUGCAAGUCGAGCGGAUGAAGGGAGCUUGCUCCUGGAUUCAGCGGCGGACGGGUGAGUAAUGCCUAGGAAUCUGCCUGGUAGUGGGGGAUAACGUCCGGAAACGGGCGCUAAUACCGCAUACGUCCUGAGGGAGAAAGUGGGGGAUCUUCGGACCUCACGCUAUCAGAUGAGCCUAGGUCGGAUUAGCUAGUUGGUGGGGUAAAGGCCUACCAAGGCGACGAUCCGUAACUGGUCUGAGAGGAUGAUCAGUCACACUGGAACUGAGACACGGUCCAGACUCCUACGGGGGGCAGCAGUGGGGAAUAUUGGGCAAUGGGCGAAAGCCUGAUCCAGCCAUGCCGCGUGUGUGAAGAAGGUCUUCGGAUUGUAAAGCACUUUAAGUUGGGAGGAAGGGCAGUAAGUUAAUACCUUGCUGUUUUGACGUUACCAACAGAAUAAGCACCGGCUAACUUCGUG